UAUCAUGUCAUUUUGGUAUUAAAAUUAUAAAAUAGAAUGAAAAAAAUGAUAAAAUCAUGAUUAAAACUGGGCAUUGAGACUCUUAUUGAAAUAUUUGAAGAUUGCUAAAUGUUACUACUGAUAUUGGUAAUAAAAUGUAUAGGAUAUUAAAACAAUACAAAAAUGUGUUGUAGAAUGAAAGGUACGAAAUAUGCUGGUACCCCUAUUUCUCCUCUUCAUUUUGUCAGUAUACCUGUAUUUAAGCUACCGAGAAGAACACAUAGCUGUAACAUCUACCAUCCGUCAGAUAUGGUCCGGAGAAUGCAGGAUGUCAUGCACCGAGAACAACAGACAAGGGUACAGCGGGGUGACUGCGCUGGUGCGUCCUGGAACCAGUCAGGAUCCACCCAUCCCCUGUGUCUGCGUCAACUGUCCAUGCGGGGUUUUGGAAAGAGUUCACUAUUCAACCAGACCGGCCGUGAAUCUCUACUACAAAUGUGUUGAAAUUCUGUCGAAUUUUAUCUACAUGACCAUCGAAAAGUUGACGGAUUGUAUAAAUUACGUUACGGGAAUAGCAUUGAGAGGAAUCCCAGCUUCCGAACAGAGACAACCACGGAUUUCAAAUGUAUUGGAUUCGUCUCAAAACUUAAACUUUGGCAGUUCUAGUCCAGAACGGAAGAACGAAGGGCUUCGAGACAAAGCUAAAGCGUUAAUUCGUCGAAGAACUUCUUUUUUUGACAAUAAAAAAGAUCGUGAAUCAUCAACGAGGGAUUCACUCAACCCUGAAGUGAUAGACUCAGAGCCAGUGAGCGACAAUGUUUGUCCCAAAUGUAAAGCAAAAGGUGUAGUUUGUAUAAAGACCUGUCCCAAAUCUAGUGAUCAAUCAAAAUAAAAAAUAACGGUCGUUUGUUUCAAUUACGAUGAAUUUAUUAAUCCUUUUAAUAUAUAAUAAAUGUUAUAAUCUGAU